rnacentral:rRNA from 1 species
AAUGAAUAAUAGAUUUGAAAUAUUUAUUAUAUAGAUUUAAAGAAAUAAUCAUAGAAUACAUAAGUUAUUAAUAGUUAUUAGGUUACUAAUAAAUAAAUAAAUAAAUUUAUUUUAAUACCUAAGGUAAACCAUAAAAAUUAUUUAUUUAAAUAAAUAAUUAUUAUAAAUAUACUAAGUGAACUGAAACAUCUAAGUAACUUAAGGAUAAAAAAUCAACCGAGAUAUUAUGAGUAUUGGUGAGAGAAAAUAAUAUAGUUAAUAAUCCAUAUCGCCUACACCCUUUAGGGGUGUUGGAUAGGUAGGAUUAUAUAUAAGUAUUAUGUAAUAUAAUUAUGUAAGAAUAUAGGACAAACUAGUUCUAAAACUAAAUACUAUUAAUAAACAAAAUAAGUACCGAAAGGGAAAGUAUGUAAGUGGUUAUUUUAUAAGUAAUCAUAGAUAUAAAUUUUAUAUUAAUGAUGUACCUUUUGUAUAAUGGGUCAGCAAGUAAUUAAUAUUAGCAAAAUCAAUAAAAUUAUAAAAAAAUUGAUAAUAUUUCCUUUUUUAUAUUGGAUAAUUAAGUUAAUAUUAAUUGACCCGAAAGCAAAUGAUCUUACUAUGACCAGACGGUUAAACGGUCGAACAGGUUGAUGUUGCAAUAUCAUCUGAUGAGUUGUGGUAAGUAGUGAAAGACAAAUCUGAUUUGCAGAUAGCUGGUUUUCUACGAAAUAUAUGUUAGUAUAGCUUUUAUAAUAAUAAUUAUUAUAAUCCAACGGAUUAUAAAGAACGGUACAGCAACAAAUAUAUUUAGGGGAACUAUUGUAGUUUUAUCAAAAAUAUUUGAUCUCGAAAUGUUUAAUUAUGAUUAUAAGAAGUCAGAUUAUGUGCGAUAAGGUAAAUAAUCUAAAGGGAAACAGCCCAGAUUAAUAUAUAAGGUUCCUAAUUACAUGAAAUAAUAAGUGAAAUAAAUAUUAAAAUAUUAUAAUACAAUCAGUUAAUGGAUUUGACAAUAACCAUUUUUUAAUGAACAUGUAACAAUGCACUGAUCUAUAUAUAAUCUUUUUAAUAAGAUUAUUAUUAUAUAAUAUUAUAAAUUUUUCUUUAUAAAAAAAGAAAAUUAAUAAACAAUAUACGGAUCUUUUACAAAAAUUUUAAAAAUUAUUUAACCGAAUAUUUAAAUAUUAUUAUUAAUUUAAAUAAUAAUAAUAUGGUAGUAGAACAUUUAAUGAAAAAAUAUAUUAAUUAUUAAUUAAUAUAUAAUAAAAUAUAUAAAUAUAUUUUUAAUAAUUUUGUAUUUUUGUAUAAAAAUACAAAAUUAUUAAAUAGUAAUUAAAUAGAGAAUGCUGACAUGAGUAACGAAAAAAAGGUUAAACCUUUUCACCUAAAACAUAAGGUUUUACUAUAAAAGUACGGCCCUUAAUUAAAUUAUAUAAAUAUAAUCUAAGAUAGGAUAAUUCUAAAUUAAAUAUUACAUCUUUUAUUUAUCAAAAAAUUAUAAAAGAUCAAGAAAUACUUUUAAUUUAUACCGUAAUGUAUACCGACUCAGGUAUGUUAGUAGAGAAUAUUAAGGUGAAUUAGAUAAUUAAAGGGAAGGAACUCGGCAAAAAUAGCUCUAACGUUAGUCAAUAAAGAGAUAAUUAAAAACAAGGUUGUACAACUGUUUAAUAAAAACACCGCACUUUGCAUAAACGAUAAGUUAACGUAUAAGGUGUGAACUCUGCUCCAUGCUUAACAUAUAAAUAAUAUUAUUUAAUGAUAAUAUUAUUAAAUUUAAGUAAAUAGCAGCCUUAUUAUGAGGGUUCUAAGGUAGCGAAAUUCAUUGUCCAAUAAUUAUGGUCCUGCAUGAAUGACGUAAUGAUACAACAACUGUCUCCCCUUUAAGCUAAGUGAAAUUAAAAUCGCAGUGAAGAUGCUGUGUACCUAUAGUGUGACGGAAAGACCCUAUGCAGCUUUACUGUAAUUAGAUAGAUCGAAUUAUUGUAUAUUAUAUUCAGAAUAUUAAGUAAUUGAUUAAAUUUAAAUGAGAUACUUAUUAUAAUAAUAUAAUAAUUCUAAUCUUAAUAAAACCUUUUAUAAGGUUAUUUAAUAGAUAUUAUUCUUAAAUAAAAUAUUAUAUAUUAUGUAUAUAUUAUAUAUAUAGUUCCCCCCCCUUGCGGGGGGGGGGGGCAACGAAGUAGUUAAUAUAUAAUAUAAUAAUAAGAGACAAUCUCUAAUUGGUAGUUUUGAUGGGGCGUCAUUUUCAGCAAUAAUAUCUGAAUAAGUCUAUAUAUAAAUUAUAAUAUUAUUUAAAAAAUAAAAAUAUAUAUUAUAUAUAUUAAUUAUAAAUAGGAAUAUAUUUCUUUAAAGAAAUUUUUAUUUUUUUUAAGUUAUAUAUUUUUGUAAUAGAAAAAAUCAUGUAUAGUAAAAUUGUCUAGAAAACAAUAAUAAUAAUAUUAUUUCUAUUUAGUAGAAAUUUAUAUUAUAUAAUAAAAUGUAUUAAAUUAAUAUAAUGGUAUAACUAUGCAACAAUUAUAACACAAACAAGUGAAAUAAGUACGUAAGUAUGGCAUAAUGAACAAAUAACACUGAUUGUAAUGGUUAUUGAUAACGAAUAAAAGUUACGCUAGGGAUAAAUUACCCACUUGUCCCAUUAUAUUGAAAAAUAUAAUUAUUCAAUUAAUUAAUUGAAGUAAAUUGGGUGAAUUGCUUAGAUCUCCAUAUAAAUUAUAUGGACAAUAAGCAGCGAAGCUUAUAACAACUUUUAUAUAUGUAUAUAUACGGUUAUAAGAACGUUCAACGACUAGAUGAUGAGUGGAGUUAACAAUAAUUCAUCCACGAGCGCCCAAUGUCGAAUAAAUCAAAUAUAAAUAAAUAUCAAAAGAUAUAUAAAGAUUUUUAAUAAAUCAAAAAAUAAAGAAUAAUGAAAAAUAUUAAUAAAAAUCAAGUAAUAAAUUUAGGACCUAAUUCUAAAUUAUUAAAAGAAUAUAAAUCACAAUUAAUUGAAUUAAAUACUGAACAAUUUGAAGCAGGUAUUGGUUUAAUUUUAGGAGAUGCUUAUAUUCGUAGUCGUGAUGAAGGUAAACUAUAUUGUAUGCAAUUUGAGUGAAAAAAUAAAGCUUAUAUUGAUCAUGUAUGUUUAUUAUAUGAUGAAUGAAUUUUAUCAUCUCCUCAUAAAAAAGAAAGAGUUAAUCAUUUAGGUAAUCUUGUAAUUACAUGAGGAGCUCAAACUUUUAAACAUCAAGCUUUUAAUAAAUUAGCUAUCGAAGAUGGCCACCACAUCCGGAGGAUGUGGUAGCUAACUUAUUUAUUGUGAAUAAUAAAAAACUAAUUUCUAAUAAUUUAGUUAAAAAUUAUUUAACACCUAGAAGUUUAGCUUAUUGAUUUAUAGAUGAUGGAGGUAAAUGAGAUUAUAAUAAAAAUUCUCUUAAUAAAAGUAUUGUAUUAAAUACACAAAGUUUUACUUUUGAAGAAGUAGAAUCUUUAGUAAAAGGUUUAAGAGAUAAAUAUCAAUUAAAUUACUAUGUAAAAAUCAAUAAAAAUAAACCAAUUAUUUAUAUUGAUUCUCUAAGUUAUUUAAUUUUUUAUAAUUUAAUUAAACCUUAUUUAAUUCCUCAAAUGAUAUACAAAUUACCAACUUUUUAAAUUAAAAUAAUAUUCUUUUUUCAUUUAUUUUUCAUAAUUAUUUGUUUAUAUUAAAUUUAUUUGAUAAUGAUAUAGUCUAAACAAUUUGGUAACAAAUUGAUAAAUAAAUAUGUAAUAAUAUUUAUAUAAUAAUAAUAAAUUGAACAGGGUAAUAUAGCGAAAGAGUAGAUAUUGUAAGCUAUGUUUGCCACCUCGAUGUCGACUCUACCUAUCCUCUUGGUUGUAAAUGCUAAGAAGGGUUUGACUGUUCGUCAAUUAAAAGGUAACGUGAGUUGGGUUAAAUACGAUGUAAAUCAGUAUGGUUCCUAUCUACUAUAGGUAAUAUUAUCAACUUAAGUCUUAUUCUUAGUACGCAAGGAUCAGAAUGAAUUAAUCCAUGGUGUAUCUAUUGAUUAUUUUAUAAUAUAUAUAUAUAUUUAUAUAUAUAUAUUAUCUAUAUUAAUUUAUAUUUAAUAUUAUAGUCACAGUAGAUAAGCUAAAUUAAUAAAUAAUAAGUAUUGAAAGCAUAUAAAAUACGAAGUUGUCUUAAGAUGAGAUAAUAAUCUGAUUAUUUUAGACUAAAAUAAUAUAAGUAUCCAAUCCCACUACCUCCUUCGGAGGUGGAGGGAAUCAGAUCAAUAAAAUAGGUUUUUUAUAUAUAUA